AUUGAACGCUGGCGGCAUGCUUUACACAUGCAAGUCGAACGGUAACAGGGUGCUUGCACCGCUGACGAGUGGCGAACGGGUGAGUAAUGCGUCGGAACGUGCCGAGUAGUGGGGGAUAACGCAUCGAAAGGUGUGCUAAUACCGCAUACGUACUGAGGUAGAAAGUGGGGGACCUUCGGGCCUCACGCUAUUCGAGCGGCCCACGUCUGAUUAGCUAGUUGGUGAGGUAAAGGCUCACCAAGGCGACGAUCAGUAGCGGGUCUGAGAGGAUGAUCCGCCACACUGGGACUGAGACACGGCCCAGACUCCUACGGGAGGCAGCAGUGGGGAAUUUUGGACAAUGGGCGCAAGCCUGAUCCAGCCAUGCCGCGUGUCUGAAGAAGGCCUUCGGGUUGUAAAGGACUUUUGUCCGGGAGCAAAUACCCAGUGCUAAUAACGCUGGGGGCUGAGAGUACCGGAAGAAUAAGCACCGGCUAACUACGUGCCAGCAGCCGCCGUAAGAC
rnacentral:rRNA from 1 species